AAUCAACGCUGGCGGCGUGCCUAACACAUGCAAGUCGAACGCGAAAGGGGCUUCGGUCCUGAGUAGAGUGGCGAACGGGUGAGUAACACGUGGGUGACCUGCCCUCAGCUCUGGGAUAAGCCUGGGGAACCGGGUCUAAUACUGGAUAUGACUCCAUGACGCAUGUUGUGGGGUGGAAAGCCUUGUGCGGCUGAGGAUGGGCCCGCGGCCUAUCAGCUUGUUGGUGGGGUGAUGGCCUACCAAGGCGA
rnacentral:rRNA from 1 species